rnacentral:rRNA from 1 species
AAUGAACGCUGGCGGCAUGCCUAACACAUGCAAGUCGAACGAAGGCUUCGGCCUUAGUGGCGCACGGGUGCGUAACGCGUGGGAAUCUGCCCUUGGGUUCGGAAUAACAGUUAGAAAUGACUGCUAAUACCGGAUGAUGUCGUAAGACCAAAGAUUUAUCGCCCAAGGAUGAGCCCGCGUAGGAUUAGCUAGUUGGCGGGGUAAAGGCCCACCAAGGCGACGAUCCUUAGCUGGUCUGAGAGGAUGAUCAGCCACACUGGGACUGAGACACGGCCCAGACUCCUACGGGAGGCAGCAGUGGGGAAUAUUGGACAAUGGGCGAAAGCCUGAACCAGCAAUGCCGCGUGAGUGAUGAAGGCCUUAGGGUUGUAAAGCUCUUUUACCCGGGAUGAUAAUGACAGUACCGGGAGAAUAAGCUCCGGCUAACUUCGUGCCAGCAGCCGCGGUAA